CUUGGUCAUUUAGAGGAAGUAAAAGUCGUAACAAGGUUUCCGUAGGUGAACCUGCGGAAGGAUCAUUAUUGAAUGAACUUGACUUGGUUGCUGCUGGUCUUUUCGAAGGCAUGUGCACACCUUGUCAUCUUUAUAUCUCCACCUGUGCACCUUUUGUAGACCUGGAUUCAACUUUCCGAGGCAACUCGGUCGUGAGGAAUUGCUUUAACAAGCUUUCCUUGUAAGUUUCCAGGCCUAUGUUUUCAUAUACACCAUACGAAUGUAACCGAAUGUCAUUAUUAGGCUUUAUUGUCUUAUAAACUAUAUACAACUUUCAGCAACGGAUCUCUUGGCUCUCGCAUCGAUGAAGAACGCAGCGAAAUGCGAUAAGUAAUGUGAAUUGCAGAAUUCAGUGAAUCAUCGAAUCUUUGAACGCACCUUGCGCUCCUUGGUAUUCCGAGGAGCAUGCCUGUUUGAGUGUCAUUAAAUUCUCAACCUUUGUCAACUUUUUUGGUUGGCAAAUGGCUUGGAUGUGGGGGUUUGCAGGUUUCUCUUUUGAAAUUAGCUCCCCUGAAAUAUAUUAGCUGGUUGCCUUGUGUAAACCUGUCUAUUGGUGUGAUAAUUAUCUACGCCGUGGACUGUUUGCCGUUUUUAGCACUGCUUCUAACCGUCUGUUCAUUCGGACAAUAUAUGACAAUUUGACCUCAAAUCAGGUAGGACUACCCGCUGAACUUAAGCAUAUCAAUAAGCGGAGGA
rnacentral:rRNA from 1 species